rnacentral:rRNA from 1 species
CCUACGGGUGGCUGCAGUGGGGAAUAUUGCACAAUGGGCGCAAGCCUGAUGCAGCCAUGCCGCGUGUGUGAAGAAGGCCUUCGGGUUGUAAAGCACUUUCAGCGGGGAGGAAGGCGGUGAGGUUAAUAACCUCAUCGAUUGACGUUACCCGCAGAAGAAGCACCGGCUAACUCCGUGCCAGCAGCCGCGGUAAUACGGAGGGUGCAAACGUUAAUCGGAAUUACUGGGCGUAAAGCGCACGCAGGCGGUCUGUCAAGUCGGAUGUGAAAUCCCCGGGCUCAACCUGGGAACUGCAUUCGAAACUGGCAGGCUAGAGUCUUGUAGAGGGGGGUAGAAUUCCAGGUGUAGCGGUGAAAUGCGUAGAGAUCUGGAGGAAUACCGGUGGCGAAGGCGGCCCCCUGGACAAAGACUGACGCUCAGGUGCGAAAGCGUGGGGAGCAAACAGGAUUAGAUACCCUGGUAGUC